AAAUUUACAUCAGUGUUUCUCAAAUCACCCUCAUCUGACUUCCAAAGCAAAGUUACGACUACAGAUAACUGUUUUCUUAAUUAAAAGUGAAUCAAAUGUAGCCUAAAACAGCCUACACCCAAAG